rnacentral:rRNA from 1 species
GUAACGCUGGCGGCGUGCUUACCAUGCAAUUCGAACGAACUUCGGGUUAGCUGGCGGACGUGGUGAGUAACGCGUGAGAAUCUGCCCUCAGGAGGGGGACAACAGCUGGAAACGGCUGCUAAUACCCCAUAUGCCGCGAGGUGAAAUGAAUUUCGCCUGAGGAUGAGCUCGCGUCUGAUUAGCUAGUUGGUGUAGGUAAUGGCUCACCAAGGCAUCGAUCAGUAGCUGGUCUGAGAGGAUGAUCAGCCACACUGGGACUGAGACACGGCCCAGACUCCUACGGGAGGCAGCAGUGGGGAAUUUUCCGCAAAUGGGCAAAAGCCUGACGGAGCAACGCCGCAGUGAGGGAUGAAGGCCUCUGGGCUGUAAACCUCUUCUAUCAAGGAAGAAGAUCUGACGGUACUUGAUGAAUAAGCCACGGCUAAUUCCGAUGCCAGCAGACGACGAGUAAAUACCGGCGAAAGU